rnacentral:rRNA from 1 species
UAUCACGGGAGACACACGGCGGGUGCUAACGUCCGUCGUGAAGAGGGAAACAACCCAGACCGCCAGCUAAGGUCCCAAAGUCAUGGUUAAGUGGGAAACGAUGUGGGAAGGCCCAGACAGCCAGGAUGUUGGCUUAGAAGCAGCCAUCAUUUAAAGAAAGCGUAAUAGCUCACUGGUCGAGUCGGCCUGCGCGGAAGAUGUAACGGGGCUAAACCAUGCACCGAAGCUGCGGCAGCGACACUGUGUGUUGUUGGGUAGGGGAGCGUUCUGUAAGCCUGUGAAGGUGUGUCGUGAGGCAUGCUGGAGGUAUCAGAAGUGCGAAUGCUGACAUAAGUAACGAUAAAGCGGGUGAAAAGCCCGCUCGCCGGAAGACCAAGGGUUCCUGUCCAACGUUAAUCGGGGCAGGGUGAGUCGACCCCUAAGGCGAGGCCGAAAGGCGUAGUCGAUGGGAAACGGGUUAAUAUUCCCGUACUUGGUGUUACUGCGAAGGGGGGACGGAGAAGGCUAUGUUGGCCGGGCGACGGUUGUCCCGGUUUAAGCGUGUAGGUGUGUGUUCCAGGUAAAUCCGGUUCACUUUAACACUGAGGCGUGACGACGAGGCACUACGGUGCUGAAGCAACAAAUGCCCUGCUUCCAGGAAAAGCCUCUAAGCAUCAGGUAACAUCAAAUCGUACCCCAAACCGACACAGGUGGUCAGGUAGAGAAUACCAAGGCGCUUGAGAGAACUCGGGUGAAGGAACUAGGCAAAAUGGUGCCGUAACUUCGGGAGAAGGCACGCUGACACGUAGGUGAAGUGAUUUACUCAUGGAGCUGAAGUCAGUCGAAGAUACCAGCUGGCUGCAACUGUUUAUUAAAAACACAGCACUGUGCAAACACGAAAGUGGACGUAUACGGUGUGACGCCUGCCCGGUGCCGGAAGGUUAAUUGAUGGGGUCAGCGCAAGCGAAGCUCCUGAUCGAAGCCCCGGUAAACGGCGGCCGUAACUAUAACGGUCCUAAGGUAGCGAAAUUCCUUGUCGGGUAAGUUCCGACCUGCACGAAUGGCGUAAUGAUGGCCAGGCUGUCUCCACCCGAGACUCAGUGAAAUUGAACUCGCUGUGAAGAUGCAGUGUACCCGCGGCAAGACGGAAAGACCCCGUGAACCUUUACUAUAGCUUGACACUGAACAUUGAGCCUUGAUGUGUAGGAUAGGUGGGAGGCUUUG